CAGAAACUACAAAGGAAGUUGACGGGGCCCGGCACAAGCGGUGGAGCAUGUGGUUAAUUCGAAGCAACGCGAAGAACCUUACCAGGCCUUGACAUGCAGAGAACUUUCCAGAGAUGGAUUGGUGCCUUCGGGAACUCUGACACAGGUGCUGCAUGGCUGUCGUCAGCUCGUGUCGUGAGAUGUUGGGUUAAGUCCCGUAACGAGCGCAACCCUUGUCCUUAGUUACCAGCACGUUAUGGUGGGCACUCUAAGGAGACUGCCGGUGACAAACCGGAGGAAGGUGGGGAUGACGUCAGGUCAUCAUGGCCCUUACGGCCUGGGCUACACACGUGCUACAAUGGUCGGUACAAGGGGUUGCCAAGCCGCGAGGUGGAGCUAAUCCCAUAAAACCGAUCGUAGUCCGGAUCGCAGUCUGCAACUCGACUGCGUGAAGUCGGAAUCGCUAGUAAUCGUGAAUCAGAAUGUCACGGUGAAUACGUUCCCGGGCCUU
rnacentral:rRNA from 1 species